AUGCCGUGCGAGCUGCGUCACGAGCUGAUCGUGUGGGAGAUCCUGGUCCGGCUGCCCGCCAAGUCGCUGCUGCGGCUACGCUGCGUCUGCAAGGCCUGGCGCGACACCAUCUCCGGUGCCGACCCCUCAUUCUCUCAGGCGCACCUCUACCGACUUCAUCAGCAAGUCAGGAAGCCCUGCAGCCUGCUCAUCGCACCACGUAUCAGAAGCGAAAGGAUCAAAGGGAAGAUCGCCACCCCACGACUUUACCUGUGGGAGGAGAGCCGGCAGGGCGUCGCGACCCUCUUGCACGACACCUCCUCGUUCACCGAUGAGGAGGCCAAGACAAGACAUGGGUUCGGCCACUGCGACGGGCUCGUGCUCCUGCCCGCCGAGGAUGCCGUGUGUGUGCUCAACCCAGCCACAAGCCGAAUCAUCGAGCUCCCUUGGAGCCCCAACAACGUUGCACCACGCCGGCACUUGGUGGCACAAGGACACCAAGCAUUCGGCUUCGGGCGUGACCAUCGCUCCAACGCCUACAAGGUCGCCCGCUUCUUCUACCAUGAAACUCGUGCCAUGGGUAGCCAUGGGAUGGAGGUGUUCACUAUCGGAAAGGACCAAUACUGGCGUGAGACGGCUGCACAACCACCGUACCCGUUUCUAGCAGGACGGAUUGCGACCUUCAUCAAGGGUUCCCUGAUUUGGACAGUUGACCAGUACUCACUUAUGUAUGAAUGUAAUCCCUCGCUUCUACCUCAUCAUGCAAGUAUGACGUGCUUUGUCCGGUUUAGUCUUGAAGACGAACCAUUCAGCAUCAUGACGGGUCCUCCAUGGUUUGAAGCGGGCGACUAUUUAGAAUCCAGAUUAGCUAAGUUGAACGGUGAGCUAGCCAUCCAUCAUCUAGGGCCCAACUAUGAAUCUGUUGAGAUAUGGAUGUGCAAUGAUGCGGAAAGCAACAACCCGCCACGGUGGGAGCAGCACCAUGUUUUCAACUUCCGGGCUUAUGUUCGUCUGAUAGCUACAUUCAACGAUGAGAUAGUGUACCAAGACGGAUCAUCGUAUCUCUGGCGUCAAACUCAUCAAGGAAAUAAAUUUAUGGCUAUUACCACAACUGCUGUGCUCGGUGCUCGGUGGCUCGGCGCGUCAUUGACUGUCGCUCUAAGGAGGGGGCUGCUCGAGUUCCAGGUUGGGCCAGAUAACGGGUUCACCUUCGAGCACGUUCAGUGGACCAAGGUUGGUGGGUUCAUUUUCAAGGCCGACCGCCACGGACCUGCUGUGCACGACGUCGUGUUCCAUGACUUAGACACACAGCGCUACCUUAACAACGCGCGCCACGGGAACGACAAGAUCAUCCUAUUGCUGGGCACCAUGGGCAGCCCGCAGCUGCUGAUGCUAGACAAGAACAAAUUAAUUGGCAUCGUGCGGUUAGGAAAAAUGAAGAUCUCUGUGAAGACCCUCACUGGAAAAACAAUUGUCAUCGAGGUGGCGUCCUCUGACACGAGUGACAACAUCAAGGACAAAAUUCACGAGAAGGAGGGCAUUCCCCCAGACCACCAACGACUUGUCUUUAAUGGAAGAAACCUUGAUGCUGAGUGGACAGUUUCAGAUUACAAUAUUCAGGAGCAGUCCACCCUGUACCUUGUCCUGCGCCUUGGUGGUCCUUGUACCGUUUGUUGUUAUAGGUAUAUUAAUGUGCAUAUGCUAGCUGGCAAGACCAUCAGCAUCGAGGUAGAUCCAAUGGACACGGUCGACACUAUCAGGGAAAAGAUUUGUGCUCCCCAGAGGCUCUUCUUUGCUGGCAAGCAGCUUGAGGAUGGACGGACAAUUGCAGACUACGAAUUUGGGAACAAUAUCACUCUGCACCUCGACUUUGGAAUGCAGAUUUUCGUGAAGACUGCCAUUGGUAAGACCACCACUCUCCUGGUGGAGCCAUCUGACACGAUCGACAGCAUUAAGGAGAAGGUUCAGGGCAAGCAAAGGAUCAUCUUCGAUGGGAAACAGCUAGAUGCUACGCCGACACAAAUCGUACCAGCGGCAGCGAACAGGAUGGACGAUGGACGCUCCAAGUUGGUCCAUCGACCGGAGACGAUGCCGUUCCUGUCUCACGAGCUGAUCGUGUGGAAGAUCCUGGUCCGGCUGCCCGCCAAGUCCCUGCUGCAGCUACGGUGCGUCUGCAAGGCCUGGCGCGACAUCAUCUCCGGCGCCGACCCCUCCUUCUCUCAGGCGCACCUCUACCACCUUCAUCAGCAAGUCAAGAAGCCCUACAGCCUGCUCAUCGCGCCACGUAUCAAAAGCGAAAGUGACAUGGAAGAUCCCCGCGACACAAGAAGACCCUGGGCCGACAUGAAGGUUACCUCCCCGGGGCUGUACCUGUGGGAGGAGAGCCAGAAGGACAUCGCGACCCUCUUAUUCGACAUCUCCUCGUUCCCCACCGAUGGGGUGGCGACAAGGCAUGGGCUCGCGCACUGUGACGGGCUUGUCUUGCUACCCGCCGAGGAUACUGUGCAUGUGCUCAACCCGGCCACACGUCAAAUCCGUGUGCUGCCUUGGAGCCCGAAUGGUGUUGCGCCGCGUCGGUGCCCCGAAGGUGAAGGCCACCAGGCAUUCGGCUUCGGGCGCGACCAUCGCACAAAUGCGUACAAGGUCGCUCGCUUCUUCCACCGUGAAACUCGUGGCAUUGGCGGUCUCGGGAUGGAGGGCUCCUUGAUCUGGAUGAUCGACCAUUACUCGCCUAUGUAUGAUUACUCGCAUCUUGAUGAUGCUGCACGCAUGCCUUGCUUUGUCCGUUUUAACCUUGAAGACGAGUCAUUCAGCGUCAUGACGGGUCCUCCAUGGUACGAAGGGGCCGACUAUCUUGACACCAACUUUGCCGAGGUGAACGGGAAGCUAGCCAUGCCUCAUCCAGGGCCCAACAGUGAAUUGAUCGAGAUAUGGAUGUGCGAUGAUGUGGAAGGCAACAACCCGCCACGGUGGCAUCAGCGGCAUGUGCUCGAUUACCCAUUUUCUAUGCGUCUGAUUGCCACGUUUAAUGAUGAGAUAGUGUAUCAAGAUACAGUAGACUAUCUCUGGCGUCGAACUCGUAAAGGAGAAAAGGCUAUUGCUCGCAUGAAUGUCUUGAGAUAUUAUAACCCCGAUAUGGGCACGCUUGUUGAGUACUCAUGGAGGACUGUCAAAAGCUUUGAUGGCUCCUUGAUCUGGACAGUCAACCUGGAUUUGCUUAUGUAUGGUGAAUCGUCUCUAGAUGAUGUUGCAAACAAGCCGUGCUUUGUCCUCUUUAGCCUUGAAGAUGAGACGUUUAGCGUCAUGAAAGGUCCUCCAUGGUAUCAAGGGGAUGACUGUUUUGACUCCAGCUUAGCCGAGUUGAAUGGGGUGCUAGCUCUGCCUCGUCAAGAGCUCAACAAAUUAGUCGAGAUAUGGAUGUGUGAUGAUGUUCAAGGCAACAAGGCGCCACGGUGGGAACCGCGGCAUGUCCUCGACUACCGGUUUUCUGUUCGUCUGAUUGCCAUGUCUGAUGACGAAAUAGUGUAUCAAGAUGGAUCAGACUAUCUCCGGCGUCAUACUUAUCAAGGAGCUAAGAUUAUGGUUCGCAUGAAUCUCUUGGAGUAUUAUGACCCCAAUAUGGGCAUGCUUGUUGGAUACUCGCGGAAGGAUGUCAUGCGGUUUGAUGUAAUGUCUUACAUUCCCACCCUGGUUCAAAUCUAG
rnacentral:rRNA from 1 species